GUUACGAUUGUUUUGUUUGUUUGACGCUGAUUGCUUUUGACACAAAGAGUUGAAAAGGGUCCUACUGGCAGGCAAGCCUGCCGAGGAAACAAAGGGUACGCAAAAAACAGGGGUUGAAUAGAACCGGUCAGACCGGCCUACCAUACGUAAUGAUCCUUCCGCAGGUUCACCUACGGAAA
rnacentral:misc_RNA from 1 species